rnacentral:rRNA from 1 species
AACGAACGCUGGCGGCAUGCCUAACACAUGCAAGUCGAACGAGACCUUCGGGUCUAGUGGCGCACGGGUGCGUAACGCGUGGGAAUCUGCCCUUGGGUUCGGAAUAACAGUUGGAAACGACUGCUAAUACCGGAUGAUGACGUAAGUCCAAAGAUUUAUCGCCCAGGGAUGGGCCCGCGUAGGAUUAGCUAGUUGGUGGGGUAAAGGCCUACCAAGGCGACGAUCCUUAGCUGGUCUGAGAGGAUGAUCAGCCACACUGGGACUGAGACACGGCCCAAACUCCUACGGGAGGCAGCAGUGGGGAAUAUUGGACAAUGGGCGAAAGCCUGAUCCAGCAAUGCCGCGUGAGUGAUGAAGGCCUUAGGGUUGUAAAGCUCUUUUACCCGGGAUGAUAAUGACAGUACCGGGAGAAUAAGCCCCGGCUAACUCCGUG